CCUACGGGAGGCAGCAGUAGGGAAUAUUGCUCAAUGGGGGAAACCCUGAUGCAGCAACGCCGCGUGGGGGAUGAAGGUUUUCGGAUUGUAAACCCCUUUUGUCAGGGAAGAUAAUGACGGUACCUAACGAAUAAGCACCGGCUAACUCCGUGCCAGCAGCCGCGGUAAUACGGAGGGGGCAAGCGUUACCCGGAUUCACUGGGCGUAAAGAGCGCGUAGGCGGGAUAGCAAGUCUGAUGUGAAAGCAUAUGGCUUAACCCCAGGACUGCAUUUGAAACUGUAAUUCUGGAGUAUAGGAGAGGUAGGUGGAAUUCUUAGUGUAGGGGUGAAAUCCGUAGAGAUUAAGAGGAACACUCGUGGCGAAGGCGACCUACUAGAACAUAACUGACGCUGAGGCGCGAAAGCGUGGGGAGCAAACAGGAUUAGAUACCCUAGUAGUC
rnacentral:rRNA from 1 species